rnacentral:rRNA from 1 species
AGAACGAACGCUGGCGGCAGGCUUAACACAUGCAAGUCGAACGGUAUCUUCGGAUGCCGUGGCGCACGGGUGAGUAACGCGUGGGAACAUGCCCUUAGGUUGGGAAUAACGGCGGGAAACUGCCGAUAAUACCUGAUAUGACGAGAGUUGAAAGAUUUAUCGCCUAGGGAUUGGCCCGCGUUGGAUUAGCUAGUUGGUUGCGGUAAAGGCGCACCAAGGCUACGAUCCAUAGCUGGUCUGAGAGGAUGAUCAGCCACACUGGGACUGAGACACGGCCCAGACUCCUACGGGAGGCAGCAGUGGGAAUAUUGGACAAUGGGGGCAACCCUGAUCCAGCCAUGCCGCGUGAGUGAAGAGGCCUUCGGGUUGUAAAGCUCUUUCGCACGCGACGAUAAUGACGGUAGCGUGAUAAGAACGCCCGGCUAACUUCGCGCCAGCAGGCCGC